rnacentral:tRNA from 1 species
GCCGGGGUAGCUCAGGGGGAGAGCGUCCGGCUGAAGACCGGAAGGUCGAGGGUUCAAAUCCCUCCCCCGGCA